CCUGGCUAAUUUUUCGUAUUUUUUUUGUAGAGAUUGGGUCUCUCCACAUUGCCCCGGCUGCUCUCCAACCCCUGAGUUCAAGUGAUUCACCUCCCUUGGCCUCCCAAAGUACUGGGAUUACAGGCGUGAGCCACCGUGCCUGGCUGAGAAGAUGGAUUUAAGACAUAUUUUGGAGCGGAAAGUGACCAGAAGAGGUGUGCAGUUUCCAGGCCUGGCCCAUACAGACCUCCAACAGGUGCUCCCCUGUGCUGUUACUCCUUCUGCCAACUGGAAGCAGAUGGUGACCAGGCUCUGGAGAAGGCAAGGCCUGAAGAUGGGAGAUUCCUAAGUGGAGGAGAACUGUGCCUUACUGACCUAAAUAUCCACUCAGUAUUGUUAUGUGAGAAUAAAUAAACUUGUG
rnacentral:lncRNA from 10 species